AGAUCAUGUCAAGAGGACAUCUCCUAAUUAGUUACUUGUAUCUUUUCCAAGUUUCAUAGAGGGAUUCACCCUCCUUCUGUCUAAAGAUUUGUACUUUCACCCUGAGUUU